GAUGAAGAACGCAGCGAAAUGCGAUAAGUAAUGUGAAUUACAGAAUUCAGUGAAUCAUCGAAUCUUUGAACGCACAUUGCGCCCGCCAGUAUUCUGGCGGGCAUGCCUGUUCGAGCGUCAUUUCAACCAUCAAGCCCCCGGCUUGUGUUGGGGACCUGCGGCUGCCGCAGGCCCUGAAAAGCAGUGGCGGGCUCGCUGUCACACCGAGCGUAGUAGCAUACAUCUCGCUCUGGGCGUGCUGCGGGUUCCGGCCGUUAAACCACCUUCAUAACCCAAGGUUGACCUCGGAUCAGGUAGGAAGACCCGCUGAACUUAAGCAUAUCAAUAAGCGGAGGA
rnacentral:misc_RNA from 1 species